UCUACCAAAUGGGAAAAUGACACUUGAUAUGUUAAAUCUCCCUUCACAGAAAAAAGUAUGUCACCAUAUUAGACCCAUCAAUCGUCAAGAUGCAUAGAUAUUGGGAGCAUCUAGAAAUCACACACAUCCAGCAAAUCUGAUUUGUUUGAAAAACAUGAUCAGGACCUCUGAGAAAAAGUCACAUUUUAUUCACUUGUUACAUACAGAAAAAAUCAGGCUUUUAAAAUAGAUGUGUAAAUCUAAUAUUCUUGGGAUAAUAAUUUAUAACAUCAUCUAUUGGAUAUUAAUUAGUGAUAGGCGCUGGGCUAUCAUUCUGUACACAUAAUUUUGUCAAAUCUUCAUAAAAACCAUAUGGGAUAGGUAUUAUUGCCUCCAGUUUCCAGAUGAGAAACUGAAGUUCAAUUAGGUUUCGUAACUUGCCUAAGAUCACACAUCUAGCAACAGGACAAGCCGAGAUGUAACCCAAGUCAACCUGAUAUUAAAACCCAUGUGUUCUUAAACUCUACACUGCUAUCUAAGUGGAAACAAGAGCCACAUUUCAUACUCCCAUCUAUAAAGAUUGAAAACCCAUUUCCUAUCUAGACACUGUGCUUAAGUGAAGAUUUUAAAAUCCACUUUGUAUCUUGGCAUGACAGUACAGACAACUUCCUCAGAGCUCUCAGAUCUGCAAGCAUAUGCGCCUGUGUAUAAACUUAAACCUUAUCCAAACUCCAGUGUUACUAUUGAGUAAAAUUUUCUUCCUAGUUUAUCUAGGUAUCAGGAAAAUUCUCCCUUCGGCACCACAGCUGUGAAUCACAAACUCUUAUUUGUGCCAUCUAAGGACAAAGAAAUGGAACACCUGUGCUUUUCAUUUAUGAUAACAUAAUUUUGGAAACAUCUCACCAACAAUCGGUUUAUCUUAUGGAAUAACUCGAGAAGAGAAUAAACAUACCAAUUACUUGCAUGGCCGGUUCCACGUCUGUUGUGGCCUCUUCCAACAAUGACAGCAGCUUGGCUGAUAUCUGAUGCACCGACUCAAUGUUGCUAAACAAGCUAUCCACAUCCAGCCUAUCAAUCUGAAGAAACAAAAAACAUUGAGCUGAUGGAGAAGUACUGUAUUUAGGAUGUUUUCUCCUGCUAAACAGAUGAACCAUCUUGAAGAUACAGAAAAUAAUGCAGGAUGAAGAGAGGAGCCAUGCUCAAACUUAUGCAAGAAGUUCAGGGGACAACUGGAUUCAGAAAUUGGCCUUUUUGUUCUAUGCCUUCGUUCUUUACCAGGAAAUAUUAAUAAUAGAGUACUUUACUAUCUCUGUUUAGAUUUUUUGGUUUGUUCCUGAAAUUUUCACCAAUUUGUCACUCCUACAAUUUAUUUCCCAAGGUCAGUUUCCUGUAUAUCUGUUUAAUUUAGAUUAUGAAUCCAUUUAGCAAGGAUCUAAUUCUACAUUUUAUCUGUAAUCUUAGCUUGGUGCAACAAAUACUAAAUAACAAAAACAUAGAUUUUAAUUCCACUUCUUCCUGAAGGACAGAAAGGAUUAAAACAUCAAUUGGCUUGAUUUCAAACGCCCAUAUCACCAUGAGCCCAUGGGGAUUCUGUGAAUCAUAAAAUUAAUUCAUAUCCAAUCAUUGCUAUGCCAAGGAACAAACAAAUGCCUGGUACACAUAGGCUUUUAAAACUGAUAGAUGAUUUUAUGAUUACUGAUAUAAAUUCAAGGAAGCGUGUAUUUAUAUUUAUUAAUCAUUCACUGGAAACAGGUAAUGCUCUAAAAGCUUAAGUUGAAUUACAUUUUAAAUGGAUUAAAAUUUAUUUUUUUUAAAAAGACAGUCUGAGUACACACUAUUCUAAGUCAAGUCAACAUAUAAUAAUUCAGACUUACAAAACAUAAAAAUUAAAGGCCAAUGUUUCUUUUUUAAAAUUUUCUUCUUAAAAAAAUGGGAUACAUGUGCAGAACAUGCAGGUUUGUCACAUAGGUAUACAUGUGCCAUGGUGGUUUGCUGCACCUAUUAACCCAUCCUCUAAGUUCCCUCCUCUCCCCACCUACCCCCUAAUCAGCCCUAGUGUGUGUUGUUCCCCUCUCUGUGUCCAUGUGUUCUCAUUGUUCAGCUCCCACUUAUGAGUGAGAACAUGCUGUAUUUGGUUUUCUGUUUCUUUGUUAGUUUGCAGAGGAUGAUAGCUUCCAGCUUUAUCUGUGUCUCUGCAAAGGACAUGAUCCAAUUCAUUUUUAUGGCUGCAUAGUAUUCCAUGGUGUAUAUGUACCACAUUUUCUUUAUCCAGUCUAUCAUGGAUGGGCAUUUGGGUUGGUUCUAUGUCUUUGCUAUUGUAAAUAGUGCUGCAGUAAACAUAUGUGUGCAUGUGUCUUUAUAGUAGAAUGAUUCAUAUUCCUUUGGGUAUACACCCAGUAAUUGGAUUGCUGGGUCAAAUGGUAUUUCUGGUUCUAGAUUAAUGGCCAGUGUUUCAAUUGGCAAUUUAAUUUGUUGCUUUACAAAAGUACUUAUCGCAAGAUAUAUUUCAAAUAGCCAGUUCCCAUUACAUUUAAAUAAUUACUAGGUUUUAAAAUCAGGUAAUGUGAUGCCUCCAGCGUUGUUCAUUUUGCUUAAGGUUGCUUUGGCUCUUCAGGGUCUUGUGUGGUUGCAUAUAAAUUUUAAGGUUGUCUUUCUAUUUCUAUGAAACAAGUCAUUGAAAUUUUAAUAGGAAUUGCAUUUAGUCUAUAGAUUGCUUUAAGUAGAAUGGAUAUGUUAACAAUGUUAAUUCUUCCAAUCCAUUAACACCAGAUAUCUUUCCAUUUAUCCAUGUCUUCUUCAAAUUCUUUUAUCAAUGUUAAGUAGUUUUCAGUGACUUCAAAAUCUACUACAAAGCUGUAGCAAUCAAAACAGCAUGGUACCAGCAUAAUAACAGACACAUACACCAAUGGAACAGAAUAGAGAGCCCAGAAAUAAAUCCACACUUUUACAGUUGAUUGAUUUUCAGCAAAGAUGUCAAGAACACACAAUGGGAAAGGACAGUCUUUUCAACGUAUGGUUCUAGAAAAACUGGCUAUCCACAUGUAGAAAAAUGAAACUAGACCCUUACCUCACACUAAAUCAACUCAAAAUGAACACUUAAAUGUAAGACCUGAAGUUGUAAAGUUACUGGAAGAAAACACAGGCGAAAAGUUCCAUGACAUUGGUCUGUGCAAUUAUUUUUUGGAUAUGACCCCAAAUCACAGGAAACAAAAGCAAAAAUAGGCAAAUCGUAUUCCAUCAAACUUAAAAGCUUUUGCACAGCAAAGAAAACAAUAAUCAGAGUUGAAAGACAACUUGUGAAAUAAGAGAAUACAUUUGCAAACCACACAUCCGAUAAAGGGUGUUAAUAUGCAAAAUAUAUAAGGAGCUCUACUCAGUAAGAAAACAAAUAAUCCCAUUAAAACAUGGGCAAAACUAAUGCAUACUAGGCUUAAUACCUGAGAGAUGAAAUAAUGUGUACAACAAACCCCCAUGACACACGUUUACCUACAUAACAAACCUGCACAUCCUGCACAUGUACCCAUGAACUUAAAAUAAA